GAUGAACGCUGGCGGCGUGCCUAAUACAUGCAAGUCGAGCGAACGGACGAGAAGCUUGCUUCUCUGAUGUUAGCGGCGGACGGGUGAGUAACACGUGGAUAACCUACCUAUAAGGCUGGGAUAACUUCGGGAAACCGGAGCUAAUACCGGAUAAUAUUUUGAACCGCAUGGUUCAAAAGUGAAAGACGGUCUUGCUGUCACUUAUAGGUGGAUCCGCGCUGCAUUAGCUAGUUGGUAAGGUAACGGCUUACCAAGGCAACGAUGCAUAGCCGACCUGAGAGGGUGAUCGGCCACACUGGAACUGAGACACGGUCCAGACUCCUACGGGAGGCAGCAGUAGGGAAUCUUCCGCAAUGGGCGAAAGCCUGACGGAGCAACGCCGCGUGAGUGAUGAAGGUCUUCGGAUCGUAAAACUCUGUUAUUAGGGAAGAACAUAUGUGUAAGUAACUGUGCACAUCUUGACGGUACCUAAUCAGAAAGCCCCGGCUAACUACGUG
rnacentral:rRNA from 1 species